GUGGUUUCCUGACCUGCUGCAGAGUAAAGAAACUCAGCCCGGAGAUUGGGCUGAAAGUAGACUAGACGUCAGAGCAUGGAGGUUUAGAACGCAGGGAAACAAAAACAUAAAGGCAAAUCGUUUUAAAAAUAUAUUCAAAUCAGGUAUGUUUUUCAAACCACCAACCUCUAGUGGCAUCCAGGGGGAAAAAGUGAAUUUCGAGAAUCUGUGGGUGGAAAAUAGAAUCACAGCAUCUUUGGGAGAGGUUCUUUAGUUCAGUGAGACCCGUUUGCCAUCUGAAUACCGUGGCUUGAAGUACCCCAUAAAAAACGAAAAUCUGGACGUAAUUACUACACCAUCCUACUUGCCAACGGGGCCAGUCCAGGACUUCCACUGAUGGCUUCAGCCCUCACACCCCCAGGCCAGGAGCCAGCAGGACAUCCCAGGCACCACAGCACGAUCCACCUGGGGUCCACUGGGCCCCAGCAGAGAGCUGACACCUGCUUGCCAUCAUGGAGGAGCCUGCCGUCAAGAGGCGCCUGAAGAUGAUUCAACUCAACACUUCAGUCUAUGAAGAUGUGGCCGGGUGUCUUCCGGUGCAGGAAUAUGUCUCGUAUACACACCACUGUCAUAUCAAGUUCAAGGCCCUCAGGGUGCCUACAAGAAGGCCCACAUGGCUAUUCUGUGCUCUGGGCCAGCCCCUCAGGACUGCCCCUUCCAUGAAGAGAUGGAUUGGGUGCUGCAGAUCAAGAGAUGGAUUGGGUGCACCAGCCCAGCCCACCUCAGGGAGCAGACCCGGCCAUGGGAUCUUGACCACCACAACCAGCUGACCCAGCAAAGAAAAAAAAAGUCAUUAGCAGAAAGAUGGGCCAGAAGGGUGCUCUCCUCAGUAGCAGCAGCAGCAGAGGCACCAGAACCAGAGGUGGAAGAUGGAGACAGAGCAUCAGUUUAAGCUAGAAAUGGAAGUGUUGGAGCUGCCCAUGACCUCCGACUUGAAAGCCCGGCUGGUACCCAGACCAACAAGACAACCGAGGUGGAGAUUAGCCAGGAUGCCUAAGAAACUGGGCCAGAAGUCCAGAGGGGACCAGUCUCCAGACAGAGAACAGCCUCAGAGAGAAACUUCGUCAUCAGCUCCUGGGGUGUCUACAGUGCCCCCUAGAGCACAGGUGCCACCGAUGAACAAAAAAGACUGACCUAAAAUGCCUCGCUUUCCCUCCUCCCUGGUUCACCUCGAGAGGGACUUAAUGUUCACCGAACUUGAGCUUCAGCCUCCAAGCGGAGGCAGUUAAUGGGAAGGUUUCAAAAGGAGUCAGAGGAACCCCCUCCUGCCGUUUACCUAAAUUCGCCAAUUGUCUCCUUUUGCCCCAUUUGCUGGCCUUUACCCUCAGUAGUAGGGGCCCUCUCUCCCUGACCAGGCCACCUGGAGGUCUGUCCCGGCCACCCACUGAGGGCCCUGCAAUUCCAGGGAUGGGAAGUUGACUUUGACGUUAAAGAAGUUAAAGAACAGCAAAACCCUCCUCAGGAGGGAACAGAUGACUUCGAGUACCUUCUUAGACCUCGAAACCCUGGGCCGCUGACUUUGCCGCUAUUCACACUUGAAGUGAGUUUAUCAGCUUUUCUCCAGUCAGACUCGUAGCUGAAAGCAGAUCCUCGUGCAAAGAAGAGUUGAUCCUCAGAGAUAGGUCCAGGGCGAGGGUGUCGCCCGUCAGGGACCACCUGAAUUGGAUUCUGCAGUUUGGGAACUUGGCGCUCACCAAGGGAAAGCUAGAAUGAAAAAAGUAGAGAACAGGGAGAGAAAAGAGAAAGAAGUUCUCCAAGGAAAGAACAAACCAAGACCUAAACAAAACAAAACCUACACGUUCUGGCUUCCCACUUCCUAUCUUUGCAGUAAAGGUUUCCCUGAGCGACUACUAAACAAAAUUCACGUAAGUGAUAGUCCUUGGUGCAAGAAGUCGGCCACCAGGGGACGUAGACUGUCGGAGAAACAUAGGCUUAAAUUCAGCCUGUAACGACAAAAUUACUCAGGCUUUGUCAGCGCUGUUCUAGUUCUGUUGCUUCUACAACCAGCUGUGUGGCUUCCAGAGUCCAGUGUAGACGACUGGGAGGCUGUCUGCACCUGGGACGUUGAACAGUCUCAGAGUCCAGGCUCAUGGGCUGGUGGGCUCAGCCUGAAACCGCACCCCUCGGUUGGGACUCGAACCCACAGUCUUCCAACUGAAACCACGCAACAUGUCUCAGGAAUUAAUGAAGCUCAGGUUCUUCAUGUCUCGGCACAGAAGGAAUUCAGUGAGAGGCAAAGUGAUAGGUAAGAAAUAAAUUUAUUAAUAACCUUUGUAAAGAGGUUGCAGGAAAAUAGGGUACAAGAGGAUGGUCAUGCCCCAUGUCUCAGAUGAGUCCCUGGAACAGGCCGUCAAGUGAGGUCCUUGGCUUCAGGCAGGAAAGAAUUCAAGAGCAGAGCCACGGUAAAGUGAAAUCAGAGAUACACAUUCUAUAGACAGAAUGUGGUCCUUCUCAGAAGGCGAGAGCGACCCCAAAGAAAUAUGGGAUAGUUAGUCCAUAGGCUAAUGAGUAGGAGGAUUAUUCUAACUAUUUGGGAGGGAGGGGUAGAGAUUUCUAGGAACUGGAUCACCACCCACUUUUUGGCCUUUUAUGGUUGGCCUCAGAACCAUCGUGGUGCCUGUGGGUGUGUCAUUUAGCAUGUUAAUAUAUUACGAGUGUAUAAUGAGGCUCAAGGUCUACUGGAAGUUGAAUCUUGCCACCAUCUUGGGCCUAAUGGGUUCGAACCACUUUAUGUCAUAUCGUCAAUAGCUAUGUCAUUCUUUUAAAGGUUGUGCCCUGCCCUCUUACCUCCUGUCUCCAACAUGCCUGUAGACUUGUUUUCUUUUUUUUUUUUUGGCGGUACGCGGGCCUCUCACUGUUGUGGCCUCUCCCGUUGCAGAGCACAGGCUCUGGACGCGCAG